rnacentral:lncRNA from 1 species
UGUACCCUCAUAGAUUGAGAGCUGUAGGAAUCUAGUCUUUUGUUGUACUCCUCAGCAACCUAAGUUUUGGAUAGUGAUGUAAUAGGUUAGCCUUGAGUUGAGUUUUCUCCUGUGUUUUGGGGAACAACAAUGCAAUGACCUCAGUGAAAUCAGACCUUAACUUGACCUUUGACUCUUCGUGCGACACGCCUUGGAUGCUAAGUUGUGUGAGUUUGUGCUGUGACCA